rnacentral:rRNA from 1 species
GACAGAGGGUGCAAACGUUGUUCGGAAUUACUGGGCGUAAAGCGCGUGUAGGCGGCCCUGCAAGUAGGAUGUGAAAUCCCACGGCUCAACCGUGGAAGUGCAUUCGAAACUGCAGGGCUAGAGUCCUGGAGAGGAAGGUGGAAUGCUUGGUGUAGAGGUGAAAUUCGUAGAUAUCAAGCGGAACACCGGUGGCGAAGGCGGCCUUCUGGACAGUGACUGACGCUGAGACGCGAAAGCGUGGGGAGCAAACAGG